CAAUAGCGUAUAUUUAAGUUGUUGCAGUUAAAAAGCUCGUAGUUGGAUUUCGGUUAAGAGCGACCGGUCCGCCGUUUGGUGUGCACUGGUUGGUUUUAACUUCCUGUAGAGGACGUGCUCUGGGUUUAACGACCUGGACUCGGAGUCUACGUGGUUACUUUUAAAAAAUUAGAGUGUUCAAAGCGGGCUUACGCUUGAAUAUUUCAGCAUGGAAUAACACUAUAGGACUCCUGUCCUAUUUCGUUGGUCUCGGGACGGGAGUAAUGAUUAAGAGGAACAGUUGGGGGCAUUCGUAUUUCAUUGUCAGAGGUGAAAUUCUUGGAUUUAUGAAAGACGAACUUCUGCGAAAGCAUUUGCCAAGGAUGUUUUCAUUA
rnacentral:rRNA from 1 species